rnacentral:pre_miRNA from 13 species
UUAGCUCCCACCCCCUGUAACAGCAACUCCAUGUGGAAUGCUCAGCUCUUUCCAGUGGGGCUGCUGUUAUCUGGGGUGGGAGCUGG